rnacentral:rRNA from 1 species
UACGUAGGUGGCAAGCGUUGUCCGGAUUUACUGGGCGUAAAGGGCUCGUAGGUGGCCAACUAAGUCAGACGUGAAAUCCCUCAGCUUAACUGGGGAACUGCGUCUGAUACUGGAUGGCUUGAGUUUGGGAGAGGGAUGCGGAAUUCCAGGUGUAGCGGUGAAAUGCGUAGAUAUCUGGAGGAACACCGGUGGCGAAGGCGGCAUCCUGGACCAACACUGACACUGAGGAGCGAAAGCCAGGGGAGCGAAACGGG